rnacentral:rRNA from 1 species
UACGUAGGGUGCGAGCGUUAAUCGGAAUUACUGGGCGUAAAGCGUGCGCAGGCGGUUCGUUAUGUCCGAUGUGAAAGCCCCGAGCUUAACUUGGGAAUGGCAUUGGAAACUGGCGGGCUGGAGUGCGGCAGAGGGGGGUGGAAUUCCACGUGUAGCAGUGAAAUGCGUAGAGAUGUGGAGGAACACCGGUGGCGAAGGCGGCGACCUGGUCCUUGACUGACGCUGAGGCGCGAAAGCGUGGGGAGCAAACAGG